rnacentral:rRNA from 1 species
UUAAGCGACUAAGCGUACACGGUGGAUGCCCUGGCAGUCAGAGGCGAUGAAGGACGUGCUAAUCUGCGAUAAGCGUCGGUAAGGUGAUAUGAACCGUUAUAACCGGCGAUUUCCGAAUGGGGAAACCCAGUGUGUUUCGACACACUAUCAUUAACUGAAUCCAUAGGUUAAUGAGGCGAACCGGGGGAACUGAAACAUCUAAGUACCCCGAGGAAAAGAAAUCAACCGAGAUUCCCCCAGUAGCGGCGAGCGAACGGGGAGCAGCCCAGAGCCUGAAUCAGUGUGUGUGUUAGUGGAAGCGUCUGGAAAGGCGCGCGAUACAGGGUGACAGCCCCGUACACAAAAAUGCACAUGCUGUGAGCUCGAUGAGUAGGGCGGGACACGUGGUAUCCUGUCUGAAUAUGGGGGGACCAUCCUCCAAGGCUAAAUACUCCUGACUGACCGAUAGUGAACCAGUACCGUGAGGGAAAGGCGAAAAGAACCCCGGCGAGGGGAGUGAAAAAGAACCUGAAACCGUGUACGUACAAGCAGUGGGAGCCUCUUUUAUGGGGUGACUGCGUACCUUUUGUAUAAUGGGUCAGCGACUUAUAUUCUGUAGCAAGGUUAACCGAAUAGGGGAGCCGAAGGGAAACCGAGUCUUAACUGGGCGUUAAGUUGCAGGGUAUAGACCCGAAACCCGGUGAUCUAGCCAUGGGCAGGUUGAAGGUUGGGUAACACUAACUGGAGGACCGAACCGACUAAUGUUGAAAAAUUAGCGGAUGACUUGUGGCUGGGGGUGAAAGGCCAAUCAAACCGGGAGAUAGCUGGUUCUCCCCGAAAGCUAUUUAGGUAGCGCCUCGUGAAUUCAUCUCCGGGGGUAGAGCACUGUUUCGGCAAGGGGGUCAUCCCGACUUACCAACCCGAUGCAAACUGCGAAUACCGGAGAAUGUUAUCACGGGAGACACACGGCGGGUGCUAACGUCCGUCGUGAAGAGGGAAACAACCCAGACCGCCAGCUAAGGUCCCAAAGUCAUGGUUAAGUGGGAAACGAUGUGGGAAGGCCCAGACAGCCAGGAUGUUGGCUUAGAAGCAGCCAUCAUUUAAAGAAAGCGUAAUAGCUCACUGGUCGAGUCGGCCUGCGCGGAAGAUGUAACGGGGCUAAACCAUGCACCGAAGCUGCGGCAGCGACACUAUGUGUUGUUGGGUAGGGGAGCGUUCUGUAAGCCUGUGAAGGUGUGCUGUGAGGCAUGCUGGAGGUAUCAGAAGUGCGAAUGCUGACAUAAGUAACGAUAAAGCGGGUGAAAAGCCCGCUCGCCGGAAGACCAAGGGUUCCUGUCCAACGUUAAUCGGGGCAGGGUGAGUCGACCCCUAAGGCGAGGCCGAAAGGCGUAGUCGAUGGGAAACAGGUUAAUAUUCCUGUACUUGGUGUUACUGCGAAGGGGGGACGGAGAAGGCUAUGUUGGCCGGGCGACGGUUGUCCCGGUUUAAGCGUGUAGGCUGGUUUUCCAGGCAAAUCCGGAAAAUCAAGGCUGAGGCGUGAUGACGAGGCACUACGGUGCUGAAGCAACAAAUGCCCUGCUUCCAGGAAAAGCCUCUAAGCAUCAGGUAACAUCAAAUCGUACCCCAAACCGACACAGGUGGUCAGGUAGAGAAUACCAAGGCGCUUGAGAGAACUCGGGUGAAGGAACUAGGCAAAAUGGUGCCGUAACUUCGGGAGAAGGCACGCUGAUAUGUAGGUGAAGUCCCUCGCGGAUGGAGCUGAAAUCAGUCGAAGAUACCAGCUGGCUGCAACUGUUUAUUAAAAACACAGCACUGUGCAAACACGAAAGUGGACGUAUACGGUGUGACGCCUGCCCGGUGCCGGAAGGUUAAUUGAUGGGGUCAGCGCAAGCGAAGCUCUUGAUCGAAGCCCCGGUAAACGGCGGCCGUAACUAUAACGGUCCUAAGGUAGCGAAAUUCCUUGUCGGGUAAGUUCCGACCUGCACGAAUGGCGUAAUGAUGGCCAGGCUGUCUCCACCCGAGACUCAGUGAAAUUGAACUCGCUGUGAAGAUGCAGUGUACCCGCGGCAAGACGGAAAGACCCCGUGAACCUUUACUAUAGCUUGACACUGAACAUUGAGCCUUGAUGUGUAGGAUAGGUGGGAGGCUUUGAAGUGUGGACGCCAGUCUGCAUGGAGCCGACCUUGAAAUACCACCCUUUAAUGUUUGAUGUUCUAACGUGGACCCGUGAUCCGGGUUGCGGACAGUGUCUGGUGGGUAGUUUGACUGGGGCGGUCUCCUCCUAAAGAGUAACGGAGGAGCACGAAGGUUGGCUAAUCCUGGUCGGACAUCAGGAGGUUAGUGCAAUGGCAUAAGCCAGCUUGACUGCGAGCGUGACGGCGCGAGCAGGUGCGAAAGCAGGUCAUAGUGAUCCGGUGGUUCUGAAUGGAAGGGCCAUCGCUCAACGGAUAAAAGGUACUCCGGGGAUAACAGGCUGAUACCGCCCAAGAGUUCAUAUCGACGGCGGUGUUUGGCACCUCGAUGUCGGCUCAUCACAUCCUGGGGCUGAAGUAGGUCCCAAGGGUAUGGCUGUUCGCCAUUUAAAGUGGUACGCGAGCUGGGUUUAGAACGUCGUGAGACAGUUCGGUCCCUAUCUGCCGUGGGCGCUGGAGAACUGAGGGGGGCUGCUCCUAGUACGAGAGGACCGGAGUGGACGCAUCACUGGUGUUCGGGUUGUCAUGCCAAUGGCACUGCCCGGUAGCUAAAUGCGGAAGAGAUAAGUGCUGAAAGCAUCUAAGCACGAAACUUGCCCCGAGAUGAGUUCUCCCUGACUCCUUGAGAGUCCUGAAGGAACGUUGAAGACGACGACGUUGAUAGGCCGGGUGUGUAAGCGCAGCGAUGCGUUGAGCUAACCGGUACUAAUGAACCGUGAGGCUUAACCUU